CCUACGGGGAGCAGCAGUGAGGAAUAUUGGUCAAUGGGCGCGAGCCUGAACCAGCCAAGUCGCGUGAGGGAAGACGGUCCUAUGGAUUGUAAACCUCUUUUGUCGGGGAGCAAAAGACGCCACGCGUGGCGUUCCGAGAGUACCCGAAGAAAAAGCAUCGGCUAACUCCGUGCCAGCAGCCGCGGUAAUACGGAGGAUGCGAGCGUUAUCCGGAUUUAUUGGGUUUAAAGGGUGCGUAGGUGGUUAAUUAAGUCAGCGGUGAAAGUUUGUGGCUCAACCAUAAAAUUGCCGUUGAAACUGGUUGACUUGAGUGGGCGAGAAGUAUGCGGAAUGCGUGGUGUAGCGGUGAAAUGCAUAGAUAUCACGCAGAACUCCGAUUGCGAAGGCAGCAUACCGGCGCCCAACUGACGCUGAAGCACGAAAGCGUGGGUAUCGAACAGGAUUAGAUACCCGAGUAGUC
rnacentral:rRNA from 1 species